rnacentral:rRNA from 1 species
ACGAACGCUGGCGGCGUGCCUAACACAUGCAAGUCGAACGAGGUCCAUCCUUCGGGAGAAGACCUAGUGGCGAACGGGUGAGUAACACGUGAAGAACCUGCCCCGAAGACCGGGAUAACCCUCCGAAAGGAGAGCUAAUACCGGAUACCCCCACCGAACCGCAUGGUUUGGUGAGGAAAUGGAUUCCGCUUCGGGAGGGCUUCGCGGCCUAUCAGCUAGUUGGUGGGGUAACGGCCCACCAAGGCAUCGACGGGUAGCUGGUCUGAGAGGACGAUCAGCCACACUGGGACUGAGACACGGCCCAGACUCCUACGGGAGGCAGCAGUGGGGAAUCUUGCGCAAUGGGCGAAAGCCUGACGCAGCAACGCCGCGUGGGGGAUGAAGGCUCUCGGGUUGUAAACCCCUUUCAGCAGGGACGAAUCAAGACGGUACCUGCAGAAGAAGCCCCGGCUAACUACGU